rnacentral:rRNA from 1 species
GAUAAACGCUGGCGGCGUGCUUUAUGCAUGCAAGUCGAACGGUUCCGAUUUAUCGGGAUAGUAGCAAACGGGUGAGUAAUGCGUGAGUAACCUACCCCUAAGUAGGGGAUAACUCUGAGAAAUUGGAGCUAAUACCGUAUGUGGUAGUGGAGGUAAGGCUUCACCACUUAAAGCCUUAGGGCGCUUAGGGAGGGGCUUGUGUCCGAUUAGCUAGUUGGUAGGGUAACGGUUUACCAAGGCGAUGAUCGGUAGCCGGUCUGAGAGGACGAUCAGCCACACUGGGACUGAGAUACGGCCCAGACUCCUAUGGGAGGCAGCAGCAAGGAAUUUUGUGCAAUGGGCGAAAGCCUGACACAGCGACGCCGCGUGGGGGAUGAAGGCCUUCGGGUUGUAAACCUCUUUUCUCAGGGAAGAAUAAUGACGGUACCUGAGGAAUAAGUCUCGGCUAACUACGUGCCAGCAGCCGCGGUAAUACGUAGGAGGCGAGCGUUAUCCGGAUUUACUGGGCGUAAAGAGGGCGUAGGCGGCUUUUCAAGUCGGGUGUAAAAUCUCCCCGCUUAAUGGGGAGGGGUCAUUCGAUACUGUUAAGCUAGAGGGCAGCAGAGGGAGGUGGAAUUCCCGGUGGAGUGGUGAAAUGCGUAGAUAUCGGGAGGAACACCAGUGGCGAAGGCGGCCUCCUGGGCUGUUUCUGACGUUGAGGCCCGAAAGCGUGGGGAGCGAACAGGAUUAGAUACCCUGGUAGUCCACGCUGUCAACGAUGGAUACUAGGUAUAGGGAGUAUCGACCCUCUCUGUGCCGAAGCUAACGCGUUAAGUAUCCCGCCUGGGGACUACGGCCGCAAGGCUAAAACUCAAAGGAAUUGACGGGGGCCC